UGAGGAAUAUUGGUCAAUGGGCGUGAGCCUGAACCAGCCAAGUAGCGUGCAGGAAGACGGCCCUAUGGGUUGUAAACUGCUUUUAUGCGGGGAUAAAGGAGUCCACGUGUGGAUUUUUGCAGGUACCGCAUGAAUAAGGACCGGCUAAUUCCGUGCCAGCAGCCGCGGUAAUACGGAAGGUCCGGGCGUUAUCCGGAUUUAUUGGGUUUAAAGGGAGCGUAGGCUGUCUAUUAAGCGUGUUGUGAAAUAUACCGGCUCAACCGGUGGCUUGCAGCGCGAACUGGUCGACUUGAGUAUGCAGGAAGUAGGCGGAAUUCAUGGUGUAGCGGUGAAAUGCUUAGAUAUCAUGACGAACUCCGAUUGCGCAGGCAGCUUACUGUAGCAUAACUGACGCUGAUGCUCGAAAGUGCGGGUAUCAAACAGG
rnacentral:rRNA from 1 species